UAGGACAAGUUUUAUUAUCACUAAUGUCCCCUGAAACUGGAUAUAUACACAUUGAUUCUAUUCAUCUUUACCAGAUUUUAUUCUCAAGAGAACUAAUAAAUUCUCUUAAAAAAUAAACAAUCUUUCUUCCUAUUACAACUCUAUCUACCACUCUAUCUGCCUUAUGAGCUCUUUUCAGUGGCAUUAUGCUGAUCCUUUGGCCCCGCAGAUUGG
rnacentral:misc_RNA from 1 species